GCCAGACUGACUUCUAACCUCCCCUGUUGAAUACAGGAACUCUUGGCACAAUUACAGUGCAAGUAGCACAGAACCUAUGGGGUUACCAUUAUAGAAACAGACUUGGCCAGCAGGAAAUGUUUACAUCCUGCAUGGAACCCUGAUGUUCGACAUGAAACCAGAGCGACUCAUCAUGGUUAGAGAAAACAAAAGCCUCCAUCUUUGAACUUGCCUUGUAGCCCAAACAAACAAAUAUUCUCACUUCCUUAUUGUCAAAUGCCUCACUUCCAGCUACUUUCAUUGAACUUUGGAUGCUCCUGAGAUGCAGGAAAUUAACAAUCCUGCUGAAAUACAAGCCACUUCCACCAGGGAGAACAGUAAACGACACAGCCAAGAGAGAUGGACCCUGGUUGAUCUUUGCAAUUCCUCAAACAUCUCCUAGAGAUCUUCCACUCCCGGGGGUCCCAAGCUCCAGAAUACAGAAACCCCUUUGUUUAGGAUCUCAUCUUAUGUAUUUCUUCAUCUGGCUGUUGUUUCCCCUCAAUAAACCACUUUCACCCAAAUCCUCUCACAUCAGAGUUUGA
rnacentral:lncRNA from 1 species